GGCGCCACCUAUCGGUGGCGGAAAACGCGUGCCCGCGGGAGCGCACACCAAGGGAGGAUGCGGAGGGAAAGCUUGAAGCCAGCAGACCAACUGCUCUUCAGCUUUAAUGUGCAAAAUCAGUAGAGGGCUUGUGAAAACAAAUUGCUGACUCCCCUAACCUAGAAGUGGAAUGGUGCCAGGAAUCUACGCCACUUAUCCAUUUCCAGGACAUCUGAGGCUACUUCCUGGCUGAGCUAAGCACUGCCCCUAAUAUAGGAUGCUGGCAGAUUAUCUGGUGGGGCCUGCAGCUUGGCUGUCUUGUUUGAGGAACUCUGUAAUUUGUGAUCAUAAAAGUGAAUUUGGAAGAAGUACAGGAGAACCACUGAAGAAAAAGCUGUGUAUUAAAUGCAGUUUACAAGAGCUUCCUAUCACUUGGAAAACAAGUUAGAAGACUGAAACAGAAUUACUUGAAUAAGGUAAUUUACCUGGUCUAGAGGGUAGAGAUAAGUUUGUCUUAAGAUACACAGUAAGAAUGAAUAUUAUCCUUUUUUUAAGAUAUUUAUUUUUUAGUUUUAGUUGGACACAAUACCUUUAUUUUUAUAUGGUGCUGAGGAUUGAACCCAGGGUCUCGCAUGAGCAAGGCGAGUGCUCUACCACUGAGCCACAACCCCGGCCCUGAACAUUAUCCUUUGGGGUGAUAUUUAAAUUACUUGUAGCAGGGUGCACUCACCUGGCUGUAAGUGGAUGAUUGUCCACUAUGUAUCCUGAAUGAAGAAACCCCAAAUGUAAAGAAGUAGAAUUAAGUGUUAGAGGGAAUAAAAGCAAGCAGCUGUCCAUCUGCUGUCCAAUAAACCACCAAGGAUCUUAAGUGACAGGCAAUACACCCUGUAUUGCCUACGGCUUUUGUGUUCCAUGACAGUCUAGUGGGUAGUAUUCCACUUUGCUCUGCCAGACUCAGGUGUACAAGGAGACGAAGCAGCCAGGAUGAUGGAGUUGCUGCCUUCCAACCAGAUGAAGUGGGAGCUCUAGAACAAUGGGAGGUGCUAUGGUAGUUAUGAAUGCUAAAAGGGGCAGUAGCAGUUGCCAGGCCAAUUUAGGGGUGGCUCAUUUUGGGGAAAGAUGUGAAAAACUCUGUAAUAUGCAAUGCAGAACCACAAAGAGUGGGAUGCUCUAGACAAAAGCUGCAUCUUAGGUCACAGCAAUCUUCUUGUGCACAAAAUGUGGGGACAAUGAUUAUGAAUGUCAAUAAUGGUCCUUAGUAGACACAUUGUACAAUCAGAAAAAAAAAUCACUGUAUGUAACCAUAUGGAAAUGUUCUGUUAAGUUAGAACACAAAUUACAGAACCAUAUUUUGUAAUAAACAUCUUUUGAAACGAA